rnacentral:lncRNA from 1 species
UUUUGCAAAUAGUGGGCAGGAAAAGAAAAAGGAAAAAAAAAUAUAUAAAAAUUUACUCCAUCAUAUUAUUUACAAAACAGGAGAUCUGCCUAGCAUGGAGUAAUGGUAUUAAUACAAGUGCACGUGCCUGUGCUGAAAGGGAAAGGUGAGACCAGUAGGUGACUGAAGAUUAAGCAUCAGAGUGGAAACAAAUUCAAAUGGAACUCACAGAGAAGCCACUUCAGCUUUUCAUUUGGACAAGGAACUUGAUGGAAUGUGCCUGGUGCGUGCCAGGGCUGCAGGGACAUGGGCCUGCCUCACCUCUGCUGCUGGAGACAGAAUGCUUCUGCUGCCACAAACCAUCAUACACUGAUGAAAGACAAAAUGAACAACUCUGAAAUGCAGUUUAACUUGGUCAGAAGCCAAAAAGACAAGGAGAAGUAGAGCCAAAGAACUUGAAUAUGCCUGGAA